rnacentral:misc_RNA from 1 species
AUGAUAUGCUAGACUCGCACUCUAAAAUUGUGUGCCGAGCAGCUGAGGUUUGACUCGUUACUCAGAAUUUGAUUAGUUGGGCUGUCAAUACCUCAAAUGCCAACAAUUUGCACCCAUAACUGGUUUCUUAUGUGAUUGUUCUUGGCAUCUACCACCCCACCGUGAAACAAGCUAAUUCAGACCUUCUACAUACUGCUUAGAGACCAAAACUGAAUAGUUCCAUUAUUUGUUUCACUCGUUAUACCCAGUUUUCCGGUCUUCAACUUGCCGGUGA